rnacentral:lncRNA from 1 species
CUGGAAACCAUCCAGCCCACAAUGGAAGAGGAAGGUGAACAAGCCUGCUGAGAGCUCAAGGCUGGCUGUGCAGAGGUGAGUGGCUCUUCUCACAGCCACGGGGACAAGGAAGACAACAAGAGGGAGGGCUUGGAAUCCAGAUAGCCUAGCCAUAGAGUCUGUUAGUGUCUUUGCAGGGGGCGUAGGUUGCUCUUCAAAGUCCUGAAGAUUUUCACUAAGGUUGGAUGGCUGCAGCCCUUCCUGUACAUCAUGGGACCAGGCCCCUGUUCCUUGCCAACUGGCUGUUGUACAUAGCAGUGAUCCAGGACCAAGAAGUCAUUUCCAGCAUCCACCACAGAGUUCUCUGGCUGGGCAGAGGAGCAGAAAACAGUUCUUCCUUCAAGGCGAGUAGUGCAUGAAGCCAUAGAAGACUUUCUCUGUAAUUUCCUGAUCAAAAUGGAAAUGACCAGGACCCUGGACUGCUUUCAGGCCGAAUGGUAAACCAUUAUGUGGAUAGGUAGUUCUCU